GCCAAGAGUGUGGCGUAGUGGUUGGAGUGUUGGACUACGACUCUGGAGACCAGAGUUCAAUUCCCAGCAUGGCC